AUUCUGGUGUCCCAGGCGUAGAGGAACCACACCAACCCAUCCCGAACUUGGUGGUUAAACUCUACUGCGGUGACGAUACUGUAGGGGAAGCCCUGCGGGAAAAUAGCUCGAUGCCAGGAU
rnacentral:rRNA from 4 species